AUUGAACGCUGGCGGCAGGCCUAACACAUGCAAGUCGAACGCGUGGCGGACGGGUGAGUAAUGUCUGGGAAACUGCCCGAUGGAGGGGAUAACUACUGGAAACGGUAGCUAAUACCGCAUACCAUCGGAUGUGCCCAGAUGGGAGUAGCUGGUAGGUGGGGUAACGGCUAACCUAGGCGACGAUCCCUAGCUGGUCUGCGAGGAUGACGAGCCACACUGGAAAUGGGAGACGGUGCAGAAGCGUACGGGAGGAAGCAGUGGGGAAUAGUGCACAAGGGGCGGAAGCCUGAGGCAGCCACGAGGCGUGUAGGAAGAGUGCCUUCGGGUUGUAAAGUACUUUAAGCGGGGAGGCGGUACCCGAAGAAGAAGCACCGGCUAACUCCGUGCCAGCAGCCGCGGUAAUAC
rnacentral:rRNA from 1 species